GGCUCAACCUGGGAACUGCAUUCGAAACUGGCAGGCUUGAGUCUUGUAGAGGGGGGUAGAAUUCCAGGUGUAGCGGUGAAAUGCGUAGAGAUCUGGAGGAAUACCGGUGGCGAAGGCGGCCCCCUGGACAAAGACUGACGCUCAGGUGCGAAAGCGUGGGGAGCAAACAGGAUUAGAUACCCUGGUAGUCCACGCCGUAAACGAUGUCUACUUGGAGGUUGUGCCCUUGAGGCGUGGCUUCCGGAGCUAACGCGUUAAGUAGACCGCCUGGGGAGUACGGCCGCAAGGUUAAAACUCAAAUGAAUUGACGGGGGCCCGCACAAGCGGUGGAGCAUGUGGUUUAAUUCGAUGCAACGCGAAGAACCUUACCUGGUCUUGACAUCCACAGAACUUUCCAGAGAUGGAUUGGUGCCUUCGGGAACUGUGAGACAGGUGCUGCAUGGCUGUCGUCAGCUCGUGUUGUGAAAUGUUGGGUUAAGUCCCGCAACGAGCGCAACCCUUAUCCUUUGUUGCCAGCGGUCCGGCCGGGAACUCAAAGGAGACUGCCAGUGAUAAACUGGAGGAAGGUGGGGAUGACGUCAAGUCAUCAUGGCCCUUACGACCAGGGCUACACACGUGCUACAAUGGCGCAUACAAAGAGAAGCGACCUCGCGAGAGCAAGCGGACCUCAUAAAGUGCGUCGUAGUCCGGAUUGGAGUCUGCAACUCGACUCCAUGAAGUCGGAAUCGCUAGUAAUCGUGGAUCAGAAUGCCACGGUGAAUACGUUCCCGGGCCUUGUACACACCGCCCGUCACACCAUGGGAGUGGGUUGCAAAAGAAGUAGGUAGCUUAACCUUCGGGAGGGCGCUUACCACUUUGUGAUUCAUGACUGGGGUGAAGUCGUAACAAGGUAACCGUAGGGGAACCUGCGGUUGGAUCACCUCCUUACCUGAAAGAA
rnacentral:rRNA from 1 species